AGUCGAACGGCAGCAUGAUCUAGCUUGCUAGAUUGGUGGCGAGUGGCGAACGGGUGAGUACUACAUCGGAACGUGCCCUGUAGUGGGGGAUAACUAGUCGAAAGAUUAGCUAAUACCGCAUACAACCUGAGGGUGAAAGUGGGGGACCGCAAGGCCUCAUGCUAUGGGAGCGGCCGAUGUCUGAUUAUCUAGUUGGUGAGGAAAAGGCUCACCAAGGCGACAAUCAGUACCUGGUCUGAGAGGACGAUCAGCCCCACUGGGACUGACACCCGGCCCAGACUCCUACGGGAGGCAGCACUGGGGAAUUUUGGACAAUGGGCGAAACCCUGAUCCAGCAAUGCCGCGUGUGUGAAGAACGCCUUCGGGUUGUAAAGCACUUUUGUCCGGAAAGAAAUGGCUCUGGUUAAUACCUGGGGUCGAUGACGGUACCGGAAGAAUAAGGACCGGCUAACUACGUGCCAGCAGCCGCGGUAAUACCUAGGGUCCAAGCAUUAAUCGGAAGUACUGGGCGUAACGCGUGCGCAGGCGGUUGUGCAAGACCGAUGUGACAUCCCCGAGCUUAACUUGGGAAUUGCAUUGGUGACUGCACGGCUAGAGUGUGUCGGAGGGGGGUUAGAAUUCCACAUGUAGCAGUGAUAUGCGUAGAGAUGUGGAAGUAUACCGAUGGCUGAAAGGAACCCCCCUGGGGAUAACACUGACGCUCAUGCACGAAAGCGUCGGAAGCAAACAGGAUUAGAUACCCUGGUAGUCCGUCGCCCCUAAACGAUGUCAAGUAGUUGGUGUGGAUUCAUUUCCUUAGUAACGUAGCUAACGCGUGAAGUUGACCCGCCUGGGGAGUACGGUCGCAAGAUAAUAACUCAAAGUAAUUGACGCGCACCCGCACAGUCGGUGAUUGAGUUGGAUUAAUUCGAUGCAACGCGACAUACCUUACCUUCCCUUGACAUGCCACUAACGAAGCAGAGAUGCAUUAGGUGCUCGAAAGAGAAAGUGGACACAGGUGCUGCAUGGCUGUCGUCAGCUCGUGUCGUGAGAUGUUGGGUUAAGUCCCGCAACGAGCGCAACCCUUGUCUUUAGUUGAUUCGAAAGGGCACUCUAGAGAGACUGCCGGUGACAAACCGGAGGAAGGUGGGGAUGACGUCAAGUCCUCAUGGCCCUUAUGGGUAGGGCUUCACACGUCAUACAAUGGUGCAUACAGAGGGUUGCCAAGCCGCGAGGUGGAGCUAAUCCCAGAAAAUGCAUCGUAGUCCGGAUCGUAGUCUGCAACUCGCCUACGUGAAGCUGGAAUCGCUAGUAAUCGCGGAUCAGCAUGCCGCGGUGAAUACGUUCCCGGGUCUUGUACACACCGCCCGUCACACCAUGGGAGUGGGCUUCACCAGAAGU
rnacentral:rRNA from 1 species